rnacentral:sRNA from 1 species
UCGACUCGAGCGAAGCGAGAGAACGUUGCCGCAGGCAAUGGCCCGAAGGCGAGGCGCUUUAGCGCCGAGUAAUCCUUCCCCCACCACUU